GGGCCAAAAAUUAAAUUUCCCCCUUUUCACACUCUCUUACCACUGAAUACUACUCUUGUUCUCUCAGACCCAGUCCUCUGACCUCUGUCUCAGCCCCCCGUACUCCCCUUGAUACAAAACUAAAAUCCCAGGGACCAGGCCUCCCACCCUAGGCUCACCUCCCCAUCGCUCCUCCUCACCGCGCUAACGGCUAUCUUCUCACGCAUAUCUGCUAAGGCCAAGCCGGCUUCUACCCAUGUUUACAGAGAAAGCCAGCCAUGGUCGCCGAAGCACCACGGUCGAAGCUCCAAUCCCCGAUCGAUAUCAACGGUCCUCUGCCGCUACUCCCCGCCGACUCCUCCGGCGUUGUGGAGAAGGAAGAAGACGAAUUUCCUGAUGGAAUGUUCCUUAUAUAAAAACCCCUCACUCACUCUCUCCUCUAUGACUCUCUCUCUUUGAGUGUGCUAAAUGUGCUCGUUGGCUGCCAGAUGAUAAUGGCUAUCCAAAAGCUAGCCAUAUAUCAGUUGAAAAGCUAUCUAACUUAGCCGAGCCCUGCAGUUCAUUAAUUUGAUCCAAGAAGCCAAGAUACGAAGCAAAAAUCUUGUUAAGUUUGUGGAAUCUCAUAAUCAGCUUGAGUACUGGAUGGAGUGGGCUAGGUUUUUAAUUUCAAUUGCAAAAAUCUGCAGAUCUUGGCUGUUGCUAAGAUUUGGUCAACAACCUUGGUACCAUUGCAAGGUCUGGCACCAAGAAAUUCAUGGAAGCCUUGGCUACUAGAUCUGAUGUUAGCAUGAUUGGUCAGUUUGGUGUUGGAUUCUACUUUGCAUAUCAUGUUGUUGAGAAGGAAGAGGAAGUUGAUGAAGAGAAGGAAGUGGUCAUGUUUCUGGCCUUGAUUUUUUUGACAUUUAUGUUUAGGCAGGGUUAGUAUGUUCAUGUUAAUGUUGGGAUAUGAAUACUGCUGAUGGAAUUUGUAUGUUUUGGAACCAAUGGAAAGUUUUUGGAAUCAAUGUUGGAUGUGUUUGUGGAUA